rnacentral:rRNA from 1 species
UACGGAGGGUGCAAGCGUUAUCCGGAUUCACUGGGUUUAAAGGGUGCGUAGGCGGGCAGGUAAGUCCGUGGUGAAAUCUCUGAGCUUAACUCAGAAACUGCCAUGGAUACUAUUUGUCUUGAAUAUUGUGGAGGUGAGCGGAAUAUGUCAUGUAGCGGUGAAAUGCUUAGAUAUCGUCAGGAACGCCGAUGGUGAAGACAGGUGACUGGGCCGGAACUGACACUGAGGCACGAAAGCGUGGGGAGCGAACGGG